UGAGUUUGUUCUAAAGUUGAAGGACUGUUAGGCGCUGUUCAGGUUUGUCACCGCUCUCAACCUGGAGUGUCGGCCAGAACACCACUCAGGCCAGGAUUCAGCUCAGGACCAGAUGUUUGGAUGAGGUGCACCAGGAGUUUAAUGAAGACACGAGGCAGGAUCCUUUAACUGUUCUGUAUUCCAAACUGUAUCACAGAUAAUCCACUGAACACGGAUGGGCAUAAAUGUGUCUACAUGAAGGAGUGUGUGGUUUCCUAGAAUAAACAAAAAUACAGAAAAUAAGUUCAAGGUGUCCUAUCAUUACACCAUGCUAUUAUACCUUCGAUAAACUAAGAAGGAAACCUCUAAGUCAAUAUUACUAAGCAAACUUAGGCAAGUUAACUCCACAGUUAACUAAUAACCAUGCCUCUGCUCCACUGAGAAUAGACAUGCAUGUUCGACACAAUGCUCUACAAUACACACGUAGCAUAUAGCUCGGACUUAGCAACAGGUGAAAUAAUAGCAAACAAAUAAACUUCAAAUCACUCAUUUAGCUGCAGUAAACACUCAAAUAUUACAACUUACUCUACAACACACUCUUAAGGAGAACACAUAUCUUGUGGUCUUUCCCACGUGUUAGCACAGCGGCUCGGUUACCCAAACUUCCCCACCAGAUACCAGCAACGUUGGCUACGGCAAGGUGUUGACGUCAUCACUGCCCUAACUACGGUAUCCCUUAAGGGACAAAAGUAACGCUGAACAGAAAACACAUAAUACAAAGAGUAAUACUCAACACCAAACUUAAACUA